rnacentral:lncRNA from 1 species
UCCAGUUGCUCGUGCAGUCGCUUUUGCACCUCCAUCUGCAGCUUUAGAGCCGUAGUGAUUUCCACUCCUCUGUUAACAAGCAAUUCUCUCUCAGGUCAAAUAUUUAAGAUCCUUAAAUACUUAGUUCUUUGAGAAAAAACAAGGACUGACUAUGUGGUUAUUUUAGAAUACGAAGUAAUUCUCUCUCGGGUCAAAUAUUUACGAUCCUUAAAUAUGCAAACCACUUAGGUUUUUGAGAAAAAACAAGGACUGACUAUGUGGUCAUUUUAGAAUACAAGACUACUGUAGAUAUAUUCCAAGUUCAUGCAUUCAGAAAAGAUCUACAUAAGC